CCCCUUACUCAUUUUAUUAUUUUAGUCGAUGACUGGGGUCUAUGUCAAUUAAAGGGAAGGGGGGGGGAUUCCAUUUUUUUCUACAAGUACUGUAUUUAAUUUAUUUGAUCUUUAAAAAGACGACUUUCUAAGUUUCAGUAUUCGUAAAGCUAUUGAUUGUGAAUCAUUUAAAUCGGGAUUCUUUGAUAAAUUUUGAUGUGUAUUCUAGAUCACAUGGGAGAAGAAAAAGUCAUUUACGCCCAACUAUGUUUGUCAAAGAAUCAGACAAAUAAAGCAAUUUGUAACCGAAAGUUAAAGGGUAGGCUAAAGAAAGAUUUUGGGUAAAUAGCUUGUUUGGGGAUAGAGGGACUUGAACCCUCACGAUUUUAAAAGUCAACGGAUUUUCCUCUUACUAUAAAUUUCAUUGUUGCCAAUAUUGACAUGUAGAAGGGGACUCUAUCUUUAUUCUUGUCCGAUUGAUCAGUUCUUUAAAAGCGGAAUAUGGAGUGAAUGAUUUGAUGAAUAAAAUUUUUAUUUUUUCUUCAAUGUCGAAUGAAUUAACACCAAUUCUUCUAUUUUUGAUAUAAAAAAAAAUACAUCUAGAGAUUCGGGCCAUGAUUAAUCAUUUGAUAUAGUAUUCAAUAGAUAGGUUUAUCCUUGAUCCUUUCUGACAUUUCGGUGGAAAGAUUCCUCUACCUCUACCAGUGCCCCGUUUGUUAGAACAGCUUCCAUUGAGUCUCUGAACCUAUCCUACCUUCUUUUGAGAAAACRGGAUUUGGCUCAGGAUUGCCCAUUUUUAUUAAUUCCGGGGUUUCCUGAAUUGAAAGUUAUCACUUAGUARGUUUCCAUAC
rnacentral:misc_RNA from 1 species